rnacentral:rRNA from 1 species
AACGAACGCUGGCGGCAUGCCUAACACAUGCAAGUCGAACGAGACCUUCGGGUCUAGUGGCGCACGGGUGCGUAACGCGUGGGAACCUGCCCUUAGGUUCGGAAUAACUCCCCGAAAGGGGUGCUAAUACCGGAUAAUGUCUUCGGACCAAAGAUUUAUCGCCUUUGGAUGGGCCCGCGUUGGAUUAGCUAGUUGGUAGGGUAAAAGCCUACCAAGGGGACGAUCCAUAGCUGGUCUGAGAGGAUGAUCAGCCACACUGGGACUGAGACACGGCCCAGACUCCUACGGGAGGCAGCAGUGGGGAAUAUUGGACAAUGGGCGAAAGCCUGAUCCAGCAAUGCCGCGUGAGUGAUGAAGGCCUUAGGGUUGUAAAGCUCUUUUACCCGGGAUGAUAAUGACAGUACCGGGAGAAUAAGCGCCGGCUAACUCCGUG